CCCCUCUCAGGGUCGCCCCUGGAGAGUUUCCAGUAGUCUACCAGUCUCGACUAUGGGAGGGAGAGUCAAGCAGAGGCAUAGUCAUUCCAUUCCUAGCUUGAGCAGUGGCUAGCGAUUGGGAGGCAAUCUCCUACAAAU